rnacentral:lncRNA from 1 species
CUUCCCUGUUAUGUGUUAUCGAUGCUUGAUGAAUCUUUCGCUGAAGUUUUUCUUCGAUUAACUGAGAAAAAUAUUUUUUCGAUGAAUGUUAAUCGGUUAAUCGGGACUUUUAUGUUUUUUUGAUGAAUGUUAAUCGGUUAAUCGGGACUUUUAUGUUUUUUUGAGGCUCCGAUCCUGUAUAAGUAGAUGUUUUGGGUGAUUUUCCGACAUCUCCGACGAGUUCUUCAAAUUAUAGGGUUUUCCGACUUUCGGACCUAGAGUUUUGGUGUUAGCCGAUGAUUUUUUCAUCGCUUGGUGGGCGUUUUGGGUGAUUUUCCGACGUCUAUGACCUUACUCCAGUGAGUUUCAGAACCUAGGAUUUCCGGUAUUGGACCUAGGGUUUUCUUUGAUUGAUUGAAGGCCGAUCUUCUCCGGUCGCGAAGAAGGAGGGUAACUCUGUCCUUAUUUUGACUAUUGUAUGCUUUGUAUGUGAUUAUCUGGUUCUAUAUGUGAGUAUCUG